GAGUUUGAUCCUGGCUCAGGACGAACGCUGGCGGCACGCCUAACACAUGCAAGUCGAACGGUGAAGGGGGAGCUUGCUCCUCCGGAACAGUGGCGGACGGGUGAGUAACACGUGAGCAACCUGCCUUUCAGAGGGGGACAACAGUUGGAAACGACUGCUAAUACCGCAUAAUGUAUUUUGGCGGCAUCGCCGGAAUACCAAAGGAGCAAUCCGCUGAAAGAUGGGCUCGCGUCUGAUUAGAUAGUUGGUGAGGUAACGGCUCACCAAGUCGACGAUCAGUAGCCGGACUGAGAGGUUGAACGGCCACAUUGGGACUGAGACACGGCCCAGACUCCUACGGGAGGCAGCAGUGGGGGAUAUUGGACAAUGGGGGAAACCCUGAUCCAGCGAUGCCGCGUGAGGGAAGAAGGUUUUCGGAUUGUAAACCUCUGUGGAGGGGGGCGAUAAUGACGGUACCCCUUUAGGAAGCCACGGCUAACUACGUGCCAGCAGCCGCGGUAAUACGUAGGUGGCGAGCGUUGUCCGGAAUUACUGGGUGUAAAGGGAGUGUAGGCGGGAAAGCAAGUC
rnacentral:rRNA from 1 species